rnacentral:rRNA from 1 species
GACUACUCGGGUAUCUAAGCCUGUUUGCUACCCACGCUUUCGCACCUCAGCGUCAGGUGAGGGCCAGAAUGCCGCUUUCGCCACAGGUGUUCCUCCCGAUAUCUACGCAUUCCACCACUACACCGGGAAUUCCGCAUUCCUCUCCCUACCUCAAGCCCCGCAGUAUCGAACGGCCUCUCCCGGUUAAGCCGAGAGCUUUCACGUCCGACUCACGGAGCCGCCUGCGUGCGCUUUACGCCCAGUAAAUCCGGAUAACGCUCGCCUCCUACGUUUUACCGCGGCUGCUGGCACGUAGUUAGCCGAGACUUAUUCCUGAGGUACCGUCCUUGCUCUUUCCCCAGAAAAGCGGUUUACGACCCGAAGGCCUUCGUCCCGCACGCGGCGUUGCUGCAUCAGGGUUUCCCCCAUUGUGCAAUAUUCCCCACUGCUGCCUCCCGUAGG